AGAGUUUGAUCAUGGCUCAGAACGAAUGCUGGCGGCGUGCUUAACACAUGCAAGUCGAACGGGUUCUAGCAGAAUAUCGCUGGGAUUAGUGGCAAACGGGUGAGUAACACGUGGGUAACCUACCUCCGAAUGGGGAAUAACCCGCCGAAAGGCGAGCUAAUACCCCGUAGUACUGGAAGGUGCAAUUCCUUCCUUUUAAAGAUGGCGUCCGUAAGGGGCUAUCGUUUGGAGAGGGGCCCGCGGCCUAUCAGCUAGUUGGCGGGGUAACGGCCCACCAAGGCGACGACGGGUAGCCGGCCUAAAAGGGCGAUCGGCCACACUGGAACUGAGACACGGUCCAGACUCCUACGGGAGGCAGCAGUGGGGAAUUUUGGACAAUGGGGGAAACCCUGAUCCAGCAACGCCGCGUGAGUGAUGAAGGCCUUCGGGUCGUAAAGCUCUGUCAAGUGGAACGAUGGGUUUCAAAGCUAACAUCUUUGAGAUCUGACGGUACCACUGGAGGAAGUCACGGCUAACUACGUGCCAGCAGCCGCGGUAAUACGUAGGUGGCAAGCAUUGUUCGGAUUUACUAGGCGUAAAGGGAGCGUAGGUGGCUUUGUAAGUUGGAAGUGAAAUUCCACAGCUUAACUGUGGAACUGCUUCCAAGACUGCUUAGCUUGAGUAUAGGAGAGGGAAAUGGAAUUCCUGGUGUAGCGGUGAAAUGCGUAGAUAUCAGGAAGAACACCGGUGGCGAAGGCGAUUUCCUGGCCUAACACUGACACUGAGGCUCGAAAGCUAGGGGAGCAAACAGGAUUAGAUACCCUGGUAGUCCUAGCUGUAAACGAUGAUAAUUAGGUGUAGGAGGUAUCGACCCCUUCUGUGCCGCAGCUAACGCAUUAAAUUAUCCGCCUGGGGAGUACGGCCGCAAGGUUGAAACUCAAAGGAAUUGACGGGGGCCCGCACAAGCGGUGGAGCAUGUGGUUUAAUUCGACGCAACGCGAAGAACCUUACCUGGGCUUGACAUGGUAGAAGUAGAAACCUGAAAGGGCGACGAACCGUUAAGUCGGUAGCUAUCACAGGUGCUGCAUGGCUGUCGUCAGCUCGUGUCGUGAGAUGUUGGGUUAAGUCCCGUAACGAGCGCAACCCUCAUCCUCUGUUACUCCGUAAGGAGUUCUCUGAGGAAACUGCCUUUGAUAAAAAGGAGGAAGGUGGGGAUGACGUCAAGUCCUCACGGCCUUUAUGCCCAGGGCUACACACGUGCUACAAUGGUCACUACAAAGGGUUGCCAAACCGCAAGGUGGAGCUAAUCCCAUAAAAGUGGCCCCAGUUCAGAUUGAAGGCUGCAACUCGCCUUCAUGAAGUUGGAAUCGCUAGUAAUCGUAGAUCAGCUACGCUACGGUGAAUACGUUCCCGGGCCUUGUACACACCGCCCGUCACACCACGAAAGUAAGUUGUAAUAGAAGUGCCCCGGCUUAACGGGGUCCGAAGUUAUGACUUAUGAUUGGGGUGAAGUCGUAACAAGGUAACCG
rnacentral:rRNA from 1 species